rnacentral:rRNA from 1 species
UACGUAGGGUGCAAGCGUUGUCCGGAAUUAUUGGGCGUAAAGAGCUCGUAGGCGGUUUGUCGCGUCGAAUGUGAAAACCCGGGGCUCAACCCCGGGCCUGCAUUCGAUACGGGCAGACUAGAGUUCGGUAGGGGAGUCUGGAAUUCCUGGUGUAGCGGUGAAAUGCGCAGAUAUCAGGAGGAACACCGGUGGCGAAGGCGGAUCUCUGGGCCGUGUACUGACGCUGAGGAACGAAAGCGUGGGGAGCGAACAGG